ACGCACGCUGGCGGCCUGCCUAACACCUGCCAGUCGAACGAGACCUUCGGGUCUAGUGGCGCACGGGUGCGUAACGCGUGGGAACCUGCCCUUAGGUUCGGAAUAACUCCCCGAAAGGGGUGCUAAUACCGGAUAAUGUCUUCGGACCAAAGAUUUAUCGCCUUUGGAUGGGCCCGCGUUGGAUUAGCUAGUUGGUAGGGUAAAAGCCUACCAAGGCGACGAUCCAUAGCUGGUCUGAGAGGAUGAUCAGCCACACUGGGACUGAGACACGGCCCAGACUCCUACGGGAGGCAGCAGUGGGGAAUAUUGGACAAUGGGCGAAAGCCUGAUCCAGCAAUGCCGCGUGAGUGAUGAAGGCCUUAGGGUUGUAAAGCUCUUUUACCCGGGAUGAUAAUGACAGUACCGGGAGAAUAAGCUCCGGCUAACUCCGUG
rnacentral:rRNA from 1 species